GAAUGCUGACAUAAGUAACGAUAAAGCGGGUGAAAAGCCCGCUCGCCGGAAGACCAAGGGUUCCUGUCCAACGUUAAUCGGGGCAGGGUGAGUCGACCCCUAAGGCGAGGCCGAAAGGCGUAGUCGAUGGGAAACGGGUUAAUAUUCCCGUACUUGGUGUUACUGCGAAGGGGGGACGGAGAAGGCUAUGUUGGCCGGGCGACGGUUGUCCCGGUUUAAGCGUGUAGGUGUGUGUUCCAGGUAAAUCCGGUUCACUUUAACACUGAGGCGUGAUGACGAGGCACUACGGUGCUGAAGCAACAAAUGCCCUGCUUCCAGGAAAAGCCUCUAAGCAUCAGGUAACAUCAAAUCGUACCCCAAACCGACACAGGUGGUCAGGUAGAGAAUACCAAGGCGCUUGAGAGAACUCGGGUGAAGGAACUAGGCAAAAUGGUGCCGUAACUUCGGGAGAAGGCACGCUGACACGUAGGUGAAGUGAUUUACUCAUGGAGCUGAAGUCAGUCGAAGAUACCAGCUGGCUGCAACUGUUUAUUAAAAACACAGCACUGUGCAAACACGAAAGUGGACGUAUACGGUGUGACGCCUGCCCGGUGCCGGAAGGUUAAUUGAUGGGGUCAGCGCAAGCGAAGCUCCUGAUCGAAGCCCCGGUAAACGGCGGCCGUAACUAUAACGGUCCUAAGGUAGCGAAAUUCCUUGUCGGGUAAGUUCCGACCUGCACGAAUGGCGUAAUGAUGGCCAGGCUGUCUCCACCCGAGACUCAGUGAAAUUGAACUCGCUGUGAAGAUGCAGUGUACCCGCGGCAAGACGGAAAGACCCCGUGAACCUUUACUAUAGCUUGACACUGAACAUUGAGCCUUGAUGUGUAGGAUAGGUGGGAGGCUUUGAAGUGUGGACGCCAGUCUGCAUGGAGCCAACCUUGAAAUACCACCCUUUAAUGUUUGAUGUUCUAACGUGGACCCGUGAUCCGGGUUGCGGACAGUGUCUGGUGGGUAGUUUGACUGGGGCGGUCUCCUCCUAAAGAGUAACGGAGGAGCACGAAGGUUGGCUAAUCCUGGUCGGACAUCAGGAGGUUAGUGCAAUGGCAUAAGCCAGCUUGACUGCGAGCGUGACGGCGCGAGCAGGUGCGAAAGCAGGUCAUAGUGAUCCGGUGGUUCUGAAUGGAAGGGCCAUCGCUCAACGGAUAAAAGGUACUCCGGGGAUAACAGGCUGAUACCGCCCAAGAGUUCAUAUCGACGGCGGUGUUUGGCACCUCGAUGUCGGCUCAUCACAUCCUGGGGCUGAAGUAGGUCCCAAGGGUAUGGCUGUUCGCCAUUUAAAGUGGUACGCGAGCUGGGUUUAGAACGUCGUGAGACAGUUCGGUCCCUAUCUGCCGUGGGCGCUGGAGAACUGAGGGGGGCUGCUCCUAGUACGAGAGGACCGGAGUGGACGCAUCACUGGUGUUCGGGUUGUCAUGCCAAUGGCACUGCCCGGUAGCUAAAUGCGGAAGAGAUAAGUGCUGAAAGCAUCUAAGCACGAAACUUGCCCCGA
rnacentral:rRNA from 1 species